GACGAACGCUGGCGGCGUGCUUAACACAUGCAAGUCGAACGGAAAGGCCCUGCUUUUGUGGGGUGCUCGAGUGGCGAACGGGUGAGUAACACGUGAGUAACCUGCCCUUGACUUUGGGAUAACUUCAGGAAACUGGGGCUAAUACCGGAUAGGAGCUCCUGCUGCAUGGUGGGGGUUGGAAAGUUUCGGCGGUUGGGGAUGGACUCGCGGCUUAUCAGCUUGUUGGUGGGGUAGUGGCUUACCAAGGCUUUGACGGGUAGCCGGCCUGAGAGGGUGACCGGCCACAUUGGGACUGAGAUACGGCCCAGACGCCUACGGGAGGCAGCAGUGGGGAAUAUUGCACAAUGGGCGGAAGCCUGAUGCAGCAACGCCGCGUGCGGGAUGACGGCCUUCGGGUUGUAAACCGCUUUCGCCUGUGACGAAGCGUGAGUGACGGUAAUGGGUAAAGGAGCACCGGCUAACUACGU
rnacentral:rRNA from 1 species